GCUAGAUUCAAACAUGGCCCUCCCCACACCCAGCCUCCUCCCCAUGCUGGGGUCCCCUUACCUCUGAACUGAGCUUGGCGCGUGAGCCGAAGGUGCCAGGUGGGCAAGGCUGGGGCACAGCUGAGCCCCUGGGGCAGUAGUGUCCUUGAGGACAUGGGCCAGUCCCCUCUGGAACAGAGAGACAAGUCAGCCUGGCCCCCGGGAAGUGCAGGAACUUAACCUGCCGUCUGGAGCUAGACUUUUGCCUGAUGUUUGCUGGACAAAUGAAAGUGUUCAAGAAGAGGGAUUUUAAGGGCCCUGGCCCAGGUUCAACGCCCUCACCAGAGCUCAGUGCUGUGUGCCCCUCAUCAGAUGUUCCCCAGGAAAUGCGAGCACCCUCUGGGGAAAGGUCAGCAGCCACUAGAGGGAGCCAGACAUCCUGGACGGCCCUCCGCCCCACCUGUGCCUUGCUGGGCACACAGAGGCUCUGCCCUGUGAGCCUCUUCUUGCACCCCGCCUCCCCACAAGCUGUUGUCCCUGCCCCCAAGGGAGACGAGGUUCACACUCAGCUCACUUCUGGCUGGCCCACUGGGCACCAUUCUGGUACCUGCUGACUGGUCUCUGGAAGACCCCCGGGCCUCCCUGCCCACCUCCCUGCCAGUCUGUGAUGUCCCAUCUUGAAGCCAGUGCAGCUCUGAUUCAGGAUGGACGGGGUGGGAGCUGCUGGUGUGACAAGAGCCCGAUAACUGCAGGGCAGGAGGGCAGGGGGUCACGCUGUGAGCAGCCAUGUGGAGGCCUGAGGAUGGGGGCCAAUGGGUCCAGGAAUAGCGGCCAGACCACUAAACACUCUGGCUAAGGGUCACCUCUAGGCCCCCUUGCCCACGUGCUUCCCCUCUGUCCUGAGACCACCCCAUACUCAGUCACUUCCCAUCAUCCAAGUGCCCGUCUACCUCCGGCCUCUGGCCAAUGCAGGGCCCACUCCUGUCCUGAGAGGCCUUACCUGUUGGGGUUGGGGAAGAGACUGCCACCAGACAGAAGUAGCCAGGGGAGCAGGGUGCAGAGGGGGCAGCAAGGCCAGACACACCACAGAAAUGGCCAGAGGGGCAGGGUAGGCACUCUGAGGCCGUGGAGAGAAGCAUCCUGGGACACAGAGAGCGAGUGCGGGUCAGUGGGAAAGGAGGCCCUUAGGGUAGAGAGGCUAUGUCCCGGCGAGAGACCCGCCCUUCUGGGGCUGCCUUCUCAUUUCUCCUUGUUGAGGCUCCCUGGGCUUCCUCGCGCUCCCAUGCGCGGUCCAAGGUGGCGUCUGGGUGUGCUGGGUCUCUCUCUCCUAAGAUAGGCUCCUGGUUAGUUUCCUUGUCAUCUUAAUCCCCAGUUCAGAGUCAGGCUGUCCAGGGCCGCAGACCCCUGGUCUGGCAGCUGCAGUCAGAAUGUCCAGCAGCCUUUCAGCCACGGGUUCCUCAGCUGCCUCAUUCUGCGGUGCCCUUGCUUGGGGGUUGGGCAGUUCCUAAAGGUGGGAGAUGGGGCUCUACUCUCAAAUGAGGUGCAGGCAGACACACAGGCUUCUUCCUGGUUUGCUCCUCAGGCCUGACACGUUCUCAAGCGGCCAGCAGCCAGCACCGUCUGCCCUGAUUCUGACCAUCGUGCUCCCCGUCCCUCCGCUGCUGCUCAGGGGGUUCCUGCCCUUGGAGGCCAGGCAGAAGUCCUGCUCUCUGAGGUCCAUGUUCCUCCAUGGCGGAGGGACAUCAUUGGUGAGACAGAUAGAUGGUCACUGUGGGAAGGAAGACCAGGAAGACUGCCCCUUGGACCUGGGGCAGUGGCACUCACCGAUCUGAGAAGGUGCCCACAGGGCAGGGCAGGGGCACCCCCGUGCCCUCUGGACAGAAGUGGCCUGGAGGGCAGGGCCCCCCUGCCGUGCCACAAAAGGCUCCAUGGGAGUGGGUGACAUCAGCUCCUGCCCAAAGUCAGGAGGGGGUGAGGUCACAGAGCAACUCCUCCUCAGCCCAAAGCCCCCACCUCGACCCCCCUCAACCACAGGACGUUUCCUGGAGAUUGAAAACUGGAGUGACAGCACCCUCCACUGCCAGGGUGGCGCUCAAGUCCAGGGUGCCACCCAAUCCUCACCUCCAAGGGACUUUGGGUGGGGCUCCAGGUGCAGGGUGGACCCUGAGAUGGGUCCCCGUCUGAAUUAAUUAGAGGUUAUCUGAGUGGGCCUUAGGACCCCAAAGGUGGGGAGAAAGUACAGGGGUGCCAGCAUUUGGCCUAUCUGGGUACAGGGCAGAACAGGAGAGUCUGGAGGUCAAAUGCAGGCCCCCACAAUGUUUGUUUUGGAAACCUGUUCCUAUCUUGGCCAAGUCUGUCAUUUUUAUUUCUGCUGUCAGGUCCCCUUACAGUUUGCUGAAACCCUUUUGGGAUGAGAUGGGGCACAUAAUGAUACUGAUAAUAAGCUCUAAGGACAAGUGCUUUGUCUGGGAAGAGAAAAGAGAGAGGAGUGUGUGAUCCCAUUUUUGUGACUGCCCCCAAACGGGCUGACCCGUCUGUGGAAGCACGUGCGCGCACACGUACGCAGGUGCGAGCCUAGGACAUGUGUGGUGCCCCGCGCAAAUGCAUGUUGCCCCUCCUAAGCAGACUAUGGAGACGGGAAGACGAGGGCAGAGUGACGCAUCUUUAAACGUCUGUGAUCUUGCAGUUUGCGUCAAAGUCAUCUCCACAGCCCUAAGGACACUGAUGUGACAAGGGAGGGGUGAGAGUUCACCUCACUUUACGGGCCCUCUUGGGACAUGGGAGGGCUGGGAGGGGGCCGGGCCCAACAACCUCAUCCCUGGUGUGUCCUGAACCUGUCAGAGGAGCAGAUGUGCCGCCUGGCAGCGGCUUUGGGCUGGCGUUCGCCCCACGGGGCAGUCCCGGAGCUCCACACGUGAGCUGCGUCCCAGCCCCAUCCACAGAGACCCUGCAGGAGUGGCCCUGAGGUCACACACGCAGGGCCUCAGGAGACACGGGACCUCGGCGGGCCUGGGUGGGGUAGCUCCACCAGCCAUGCCCAGUCUGGUCAUUGGAAGAAGGACAUGGUGGGAAGUCCUGUUCCCUGAGGCUCCUCCAGCCCGAAGUUCUGUGACGCCUGCUCACAGGAGCCCCCUUGUUCAGCUGCGCACCGCACAGCUCACCCCCAGAAGGUCUGCUCCUGCCGACCAGGGGAGACAGCGUGGCUGCGGAGGCCCACGGUGCCCCGACUCUCCCAGGACGGAUGGGGACAGGGCUGCCGAGGGACCCCUGCUCAGCCCUCCCCGCAGGAGGCCGGUCCCACCCUCCCGCUUCUGGGCCAGCGGCGCUGAGCCCCUUGUCUCCUGGCGGAACCUGCUCUCCCGUGUUAGGGCCCCUCCCAGCCCCCGUCAGGGUGGUGUUUAUCCCCUGGCCUUUCCUGGCGGUGCUGACUUGAUUUUCCCUCAGCACCACACGUUCCUGGACUCUUAGUAUUCCUGUCAGGCACAGGGGAACCUGAGUUGGCGAUUCCUCCCGGGAAGGAGUGGUGCCCCUGGGCUUCUGCCCAGUCCAAAAGCCCUGUCCUUAGCCACCAUCCACAGGGCCUCCCAGGCGCUGGGCCGGCAGGCGGAGGAGGUCACUAGGGAGCUGUUGCCCCUCAGGCCCCAAGACAUGGCCUUGACCUGUCUCCCCAGGAGAGCCACCAUGUGCCCGCUGUCUCCUCACCUGCAGGAGAUAGAGGCUUGGCCCAGAAAGCACAGUGGCUUUCUGGGGGUGGCCCUGCUCACCCCAUCUGUAGAUGGUUUCCACAGCAACUCUGCUCUGCUCUUGGAGCCAGCCCAAGUACCUGAGCCAUUGCCGUGCUGCCCGGCCGGUCGCGGCACAGCCACCAGUGAACCUUGAGUGCAGGCAUGGCCCUCAGGGCCAAGGUCUCCCCAGGGCCCACUGACGGGUCUUGGGGUCCGGGCUCCUCCUGGGCAAUAGAAUCCUGGAAGCAGAGAAAGACUCAGACUGGUCUGCUUUUUGGGGCUGGAGCCCAGCUGCUUGCCUCCCUUGUCCCUGAGGGUCCUGCCACACCAAUAACAGCUUUGAUGGAACAGACUCUGUGGGCGUCCCCGAUGAGCUGAUAAUUUAGGCCCCUUUAAGGCCACGUCUUCAAACAUGUGUGUGCCACCAGCAUCCUGGAGGCCCUUGGGUGCAGUCACAGUAUUGUCCCAGUCACCUUUGAAGCAGUGCUAUCUCUUGAGGAGAAGGGCCCCUCUCUUCAGGGGCUGGGAUAAUCCAAAUGGCUUGUGCACCCCCCCAUUUAGGAGCCUGAGCCAGGAGCCUCCGGCCUGCCUCCCUCCUAUCCAGCCCAGACUAGCCUCACAGCCCUGGCACACUUCCCCUGGGCUCUCUGACUCAGGGGCUGAUGCUCAGGGGCUGAGGGUCCCGGGCCCAUGCCGGCGUGGCAGGCCUGGUUGUGCCGUGCUUGGUGGUCUCCUGUCAGGCCAUCGCGGGAGGCACAGGUGCCCUUACCUGGUGCGCAUGGGCCCCCAGUUGCAGCCUGGCCCACUGCAGCACAGAAGAGCCCAGGUGGGCAGGGCAGGCACCAGCUCACAUCUGGUGCCCCUCUCUCUGCGUUCCACGUGCCAACAGGGCAGGGCCACUGCCUGGGGUCCUGGGUGCCAGCGGGGCAAAAAUGACCGAGAGGGCAGAGGUCACCAAAGGGGAGUCCCUCCUGGAGGAAGAGGGGCCUGUUGACGCUUAAGUGUCAAGAGCGAGGGAGUUCUCUUGACCGGGUUCCUCCCUGAAGCCCCUGUGCGGAGGCCGCCUGGCUCAGCCCGGCCUCUCCUGUUCGCUUACAUGCACUGAUCUGCACUGACACCUCCCUCUGGGGACCGCUCUGGGAGUUUAACGUUUCAGAAAAAUGAAACAAAUUUUAAUGUUAAAUACCCUAAACAGUCCCGACUCUCUGCCUAUCUGCUAACAGCUCUGGUACGCAGCUUCAGCUGCGGCGAAGUCCAUCUGUCUAUCAUCCACCCAGCCAUCUACCUACCUACCCAUCCAGCUUCUCUUUCUCACUACUGGCCACCCCUUCAGUCCUCUGUGUCAGGACAGUAGACCCACUUACGAUAAUAGAUACCUGGUGUCCCAUUGGGUUGAUAUGCCAUAUCUCUGCCUAGAUAUUUUCCUAUUACGGGGCCUCUGUGGUGUUUGGUGUUUUUGUUUUGUUUUUGUGUUAAAAAUCUGUGGUGUUUUGAACAUCUUUACGUAAAUGACUUUCUUUCCCCCCUCAGGUUCUCUCCAGGAAUCAUUGGAUCACAGGGUGGGAACUGCCUGGCAGCUCCUGCUGCAUCUGCCGACUGAGUCCAGCAGCCCUGGGCAGGGCAGUGGGGGAGAGGCCCUGUCCACAGCGGUGCCUUGCCAGGGCUUCCGCAGUUGCGUUUACUUUCAGUAAUGAGUAGGUGCACGUCACACAAAAGUGGCUUCGCUUCACAUGUCCUUCCUUGCCAGCCCGGCUGCGCCUUUUCCUAGUGAUAGCAGAUUUGUGUUUGGUCCUUUUUCAGGUGGGAGCCGGAAGCUGACAUUAGAACUUUGGCGCUUUCCUUACUGUCUCGUGUUUUCAUGGCCCUGUUUGAUGGCUGAGGUUCCUCCAGCUCUGCCCCUGCAGUAGUGUCAUCCUAUCUUCAGUGGGAGCUCCCUGUCACCCUUGGGCAGUGAGCCCCAGAGGGCAGGAGCUGGGCCUUCACCUUCUGGACAGGCCAGUCUGGUGGGGCAAAUCUCACAGUGCGACAGGUUGGAGAGGUUGGUGCGGUUGCUGAAGGUCCCAGGUGGGCAGGCGUGGCGGGGAGUGUGCAGACAGGAGCCCACAAGGCACACAUACCUACGACACCCAUGGAGUUGGAGCCAGACCCAUUCUUCCAAGGUGGGAGGAGACAUUGUUGAUGGUGGUGAUUGUGAAGACAACAGGAGCUCUUUGCUGAUCACUCACUAGGUGCCAAGCUCAGUGCAAGGCCCUUUCCAUAGGCUGUCUCGCCUGAUGUUCACAACAGCCUUAUGAGGCAAAUAUUACUGCCUUUCUUUUAAAGAUGAGGCUCAGAGAGGUGAAGGAACUUGCUGAUAUUACACAGUCAGUAAAUAGCAGAUCUGGGACAUCCCUUCCCUGCUCCCCACAUGGUGGUUCUCUAAGCCCCUGCUCCAGACCACUCCCGCCAAAGGCCUCCCUUGUUCCUGUGAGCACUCUCGUUCCUCACUUUAAAACUGUUCAUUUCUUUUUUUACAUGUCCUUAGUGCUGGUGGUGCCCAGCCACAUCACCCCUCUGUCUUUAUGCUCUAUGUUGUGUGCAAAUGAAUGAAAGAAACCUUAACUAAAUUGGACUUGGGAAGGCCUGUAAGGGGUGCUCUCAGCUCAUCACCCAUCCUCAAUUACACCAAACAGGAAGUACAACUACUUUACUAUGAAGGAAGAUUUUCCUCCACACCUGGCAACAGCUCAGCCAAUGAGAAAUGCUGCAGCCCAGCCAAUCAGAAACGCCACAGCUCAGCCAAUGAGAAAUGCUACAGCCCAACCCAUCAGAAACUCUACGGCCCAGCCAAUGACAAAUGCUGCAGCCCAGCCAAUCAGAAAUGCCACAGCUCAGCCAAUGAGAAAUGCUGCAGUCCAACCCAUCAGAAACUCUACAGCCCAGCCAAUGAGAAAUGCUGCAGCCCAGCCAAUCAGAAACGCCACAGCUCAGCCAAUGAGAAAUGCCACAGCUCAGCCAAUCAGAAAUGCUACAGCCCAGCCAAUGAGAAAUGCUGGAGCCCAGCCAAUGAGAAACACCACAGCUCAGCCAAUAAGAAGCCAUUUCCGCCCUGAAGUGUUACUUCCCCCAAUGGACUUUCCUUUAGAACAGCGGCUACCUACUCCCCUUCUCUAUAAAAGCAGCUCCCCUCCUUUGUUUUCUGGAUUUACCUAUGGUUUCCCAUAGCAUGCACAUCCCCAAUUGUAAUUCUUUCUGCUAUUCCUGAAUAAACUCAUUUUGAC
rnacentral:lncRNA from 1 species